UGGGCCCCUGCCCGGCGCCAGACCCAAGACGCUGGGACCUGAUGCAAACCUUGCUGAAGUCAAUGAGAAACUUUCCACUGCUGUCAGUGACAUUUGGAUCAGGCUCUUGGAUCUUUCUGGCUGGGACUGAAAGUAGCAGCGCUACUAAACUCUUCACCUUUGGAGAUGAAUCCGUCCCUAGCUUUUACAGGCUGUUUGUGCUUCAUACACAUUUUCAACUCCCUGGCUUCCAGUGCUAUCUGGCAACCUUCCAGAGCUGUCUCAAUUUUUCACCUCAAGACUUCCUCUGCUGCUUGGAUAAGCACUUUUCUGCCUGCAAGCUGCCUGGGACAUGAAGGAGUCUUAAAUUUGGGGAGCAGAAGAUCUAACACUGGGACACUGGGCUAGUUUCUGUGUGUGUGUCUUUGCCCCUUGAGGCCUUCUGUGGAUGAACAUGGAAGAAAGAGCUCAAAUAAUAUAUGUCUUUGUUUAGACUCUACAGUUGUUAUUUCCUCUCCAUUUCACUCUUGGCACUUAGUUUGGCACUUAAUUAAGGACAGAUUAUAGCAAUUUUCUCCUAAACUACUUUACUGGUGGAGCUCCAGGGACAAGCCAGGAUCAGAGGUGCUGCAGCAGGGACCAUGGGACAGUGAUAUAGAGUCAUUCAGUGAUGCCUGGGGCAUAUAGGAUUUCCCCUGUCCACCAACACUCUUCUUCAGCAAGUGGUACAUCACUUGAUGUACAAAUCAGCUAACAAGUCCUGACUACAUUGUACCCAGAGCGAGGCAGGAAAACAUUUACGCUUUUUAAUGAUUCUCUGCUGAAAGGGUAAGAAACAUCCAGUCAGAGGAUUUUGUUUUUGUUCUUUCAGACUAGAUGGAAUCAUUUUGUCAAUCCAAAGCAGCUUGUCAAAAGCUAGCUCUUUUCACCUGUGGGGACUGUGAACAGCAACUGAGAACUGGGACAUCAAAAACUGUGCCUUGAAGAAAUGCUUAAAAAUAUUCAUUGAGCAACAGGACUAAUCUGAUCAGGGUAGAUCCGUUCUGUGGUUGUAGAGAGGGGACAGAUGGUAUAUACAGGUGGGCUGGUAUGAGUUAGGUAUUUUGACACUCAAACAGCUUUAGCUUUAAGAAAGUGGCAUAUACAGUACAUAGGAUACAGAGUACAUGGAAUUUUGCCAUGUAGUACAGUCACAUAUACACUGCCCCUGGUACACAUGGACAGGAGAACCAUCUCUUAGUUAACUCACUGAAUUCACAGAACAACUUCACUAUACAGUAAUUGGAGAUUCACUAUAGCUAAACUGCAGUUUGCACAUUGCAGUGCAACAAAAUAAUUCAUUGGAAUUGACACAAUUCAUUCUACUUCACUAUGACUGGAGUAUCAUGAUAUUUGCAUUCUCUGUGAGCAGGUUCUUUUGCAACUCCCUGGAACAUAGGUUUGCUGUCUUAGAAAUGAUCCAUGAAAGGCAAUGUGUGAGAGGGUCUGGCAAAUACUGGACCUCAACAUUAUCAAGCUUCCAGAAAGGGAAUCCAAACACCCAUUAAUACAUCAGCCUAAGACAAGUUCAUCACAUGAGCUAUGUGGGGAGAGGGGCAAGAGGAACAGGGGCUCAAUCCAGCAAGGUGCUGAAUACUAUCCAGCAAAGAACUCAAACACAUGCUUACUUUAAGCUCUGAGUAGUUCUACUGAAGUCAAUAUAAUUACUCACAUGCUUCAGGACAUGCACAUGCUUAAGGGCUUUGCUAGAUCAGGUACAAGAGCUCAGCAUUAGUUAGAAUCAAGCCCCAGUUCCUUAACACUAGGAUCACUGUCAAGUCAGCCCAUUCAGAAUUACUUCUCAAACUAGAUACUAAUUAUGCCUGAGUCACAAAAUCUGGAUGUAGGUUCAGGAUUAGAUUUCAAAGUCUUCCUAAACUUCAGAUCUGGGGUUUUUCUUUGGCUCACAGCAGAACUGGAGACUAAUCAUAGCAUUUAGAUCUGGCUUCAGGUUUGGAUCUUGACCAAAGACCACAUGAGUUGGAAUUCAGAGCUCUAGUUUGAGCAAACAGAGAGUGUAGCAAAGGUUUUGAUCCCUAAUUGUGCAUAUUAGAUUCCUUCCACUCUAUGCUGGGCUCUCAGUGGAACUCUGAGUACUCCCUAAGGAUCCUGUCCUGACUUUGGGAAGGUGGGUAAAGAACUGGCCUUUAGGCAAAUGCCUCCCUUGGUGAGCCAAAAUUUGACAUUCCAUAGAAAUUAAGCAAUGAGCAAUAAAUAUUCACCUGUCCCUU